rnacentral:rRNA from 1 species
CAGAGGUCCCGAGCGUUGUUCGGAUUCACUGGGCGUAAAGGGUGCGUAGGCGGUCGGGUAAGUCUGAUGUGAAAUCUCAGAGCUCAACUCUGAAACUGCAUUGGAUACUAUUCGGCGUUGAGGUCUGGAGGGGGGACUGGAAUUCUCGGUGUAGCAGUGAAAUGCGUAGAUAUCGAGAGGAACACCAGUGGCGAAGGCGAGUCCCUGGACAGGUCCUGACGCUGAGGCACGAAAGCUAGGGGAGCAAACAGGAUUAGAUACCCUGGUAGUCCUAGCCGUAAACGGUGCGUAUUUGCUGUAAAAGGAAUCGACCCCUUUUGUGGCGUAGCAAACGCGUUAAAUACGCCGCCUGGGAAGUACGGUCGCAAGAUUA